GAACCACCAUACCGAGAAACAUCCGUAGAUGUACCUCCCAUAUCGAAUCCGAUGACAGGAAUUUUAACGUCCUCGUCAUAUGAGGUAAGUGCAAAACCUACGACACCGCCAGCAGGACCGGAGAGAAUGGCAUGUAAGCCUGAAAACUUAUUAACGUCAACCAAACCACCGUCACUCUGCAUGAACUCACAACGCACACCCUUUGAAUUAUCCUUUGUCUUUAAACCAUGAAGGAAUCCUGAUUGAAACCCGGCAAGGUAUCUUCUAACAACUGGAGAAAGGUAAGCAUCAGCGGUAGCUGAAGUAGCACGAGGAACAUAUUUAAUCAUCGGCAUUAAUUUAGUUGAAAGACUGAUAUUGCUGAAACCAACCUCUUCAGCAAUUUUACCAACAAGAAGUUCAUGAUCUGGAAAUGUAAAGCUGUGGGCAAGGCAAACGGCGAUACUGGUAAAUCCUUCAUCGUACAAUGCUUGCAAAUCUUUGCGAAGUGCAUCGCAAUCUACCUUUUUCAUAAUACGAACGACUUCACCAGAACGGCCAACUACUAGUGACGGGUCAGAGCCGUCAAUUGUGGUUUUGACUUUCAUUGGGUCUUCAACAUAAUCUUCUAGUGUUACACGCUCGUCAACUUCGAUAACUUUAGAGUACAAUACUUCAGGUCUUCGAAUUCCCAACUCGAAAAUAUUAGGUCUAGAUUGGUUGCCAAUUAACAGACCAUCUUUAAAUCCUUUAGUCGUUAUAAAAGCGCAUCGUUCACCUUUUCGUUCCAAUAAAGCAUUGGUAGCAACUGUAGUACCACACCGUAAAUGAUUAAUGCAACUGGUAUCUAAUUUUUCGGUUCGUGGGAUCGAUUUUCCUUGAACAAUCUCUAAAAUGCGUCGGACAGCUUCGAUAGAAGCGUCCUUAUAGUUACUAGGAUCCUCUGAAAGUAAUUUGAUGACAAUAGGAGGGCGAGAUUCAUCAGCAAAAGUGGCGAUUGCGUCUGUAAAAGUACCACCUCGAUCAAUGUGAAUUUUGACACUCAUUUUUUAAAUCCAAAAUGUGUAUUAAAUCUAUGUGUAUGUAUAUGUAGGUAGAAAAAG